UGUUAAAAAUUCCAUCAAUUUAUAUAGUUAAAAAAUGUGGCAUGCUAUGUGUAUCUCAUUCUGACCUACAGGGACCAAUUUUUUAAUAGUAGAAAUAGAUGGGAUUUUUAACA
rfam:Gossypium hirsutum cultivar TM-1 chromosome 20, whole genome shotgun sequence